rnacentral:rRNA from 1 species
CCUACGGGAGGCAGCAGUAGGGAAUAUUGCUCAAUGGGGGAAACCCUGAAGCAGCAACGCCGCGUGAAGGAUGAAGGUUUUCGGGUUGUAAACUCCUUUUGUUAGAGAAGAUAAUGACGGUAACUAACGGAUAAGCACCGGCUAACUCCGUGCCAGCAGCCGCGGUAAUACGGAGGGUGCGAGCGUUAGUCGGAAUCACUGGGCGUAAAGAGCACGUAGGCGGGAUAGCAAGUCAGAUGUGAAAUCCUAUGGCUUAACCAUAGAACUGCAUGUGAUACUGUUAUUCUAGAGUAUGGGAGAGGUAUGUAGAAUUCUUGGUGUAGGGGUAAAAUCCGUAGAGAUCAAGAGGAAUACUCAUAGCGAAGGCGACCAGCUAGAACAUAACUGACGCUGAUGCGCGAAAGCGUGGGGAGCAAACAGGAUUAGAUACCCGAGUAGUC